AAAUUGAAGAGUUUGAUCAUGGCUCAGAUUGAACGCUGGCGGCAGGCCUAACACAUGCAAGUCGAACGGUAACAGGAAGCAGCUUGCUGCUUCGCUGACAAGUGGCGGACGGGUGAGUAAUGUCUGGGAAACUGCCUGAUGGAGGGGGAUAACUACUGGAAACGGUGGCUAAUACCGCAUGACGUCGCAAGA
rnacentral:rRNA from 1 species